rnacentral:rRNA from 1 species
UACGUAGGUGGCAAGCGUUGUCCUGAUUUUCUUUUCGUAUAUUGAGCGUAGGCGGAUACUUAAGUGGGAUGUGAAAUACCUGGGCUUAACUUGGGUGCUGCAUUCCAAACUGGGUGUCUAGAGUGUUGGAGAGGAAAGUGGAAUUCCUAGUGUAGCGGUGAAAUGCGUAGAGAUUAGGAAGAACACCAGUGGCGAAGGCGACUUUCUGGACAAUAACUGACGCUGAGGCUCGAAAGCGUGGGGAGCAAACAGGAUUAGAUACCCUGGUAGUCCACGCCGUAAACGAUGGGUACUAGGUGUAGGAGGUAUCGACUCCUCCUGUGCCGCCGUUAACACAAUAAGUACCCCGCCUGGGGAGUACGGUCGCAAGAUUAAA